GGACCUGACUGCUAUCGGAUUGAUACUAAGCCAUGCGAGUCAUUGUAGCAAUACAAGGCAGACGGCUCAGUAACGCGUAGUCAACCUACCCUAUGGACGGGAAUAACCUCGGGAAACUGAGUAUAAUGCCCGAUAGAACAUUAUGCCUGGAAUGGUUUAUGUUCCAAAUGAUUUAUCGCCGUAGGAUGGGACUGCGGCCUAUCAGUUUGUUGGUGAGGUAAUGGCCCACCAAGACUAUUACAGGUACGGGCUCUGAGAGGAGUGGCCCGGAGAUGGGUACUGAGACACGGACCCAGGCCCUAUGGGGCGCAGCAGGCGAGAAAACUUUGCAAUGUGCGAAAGCACGACAAGGUUAAUCCGAGUGGUUUCUGCUAAAGGAACCUUUUGUCAGUCCUAGAAACACUGAUGAAUAAGGGGUGGGCAAGUUCUGGUGAG
rnacentral:rRNA from 1 species